rnacentral:rRNA from 1 species
CCCUUAGAUGUUCUGGGCCGCACGCGCGCUACACUGACGGAGCCAACGAGUCUUUUCCUUGUCCGGAAGGACUGGGUAAUCUUGUGAAACUUCGUCGUGCUGGGGAUAGAGCAUUGCAAUUAUUGCUCUUCAACGAGGGAUUCCUAGUAAGCGUGAGUCAUCAGCUCGCGUUGAUUACGUCCCUGCCCUUUGUACACACCGCCCGUCGCUACUACCGAUUGAACGUUUUAGUGAGGCAUUUGGACCGACGCAUCUCAGUUUAACCGCUGGUUUGUGUUGGAAAGACUUCCAAACUUGAGCGUUUAGAGGAAGUAAAAGUCGUAACA